CAUAAGUAGAUAAUCAAAGCCGGUAUGACUAUCAAGAUAGGGAAAUCAAUGUGUUAGAGAGAGAAGUACCUUUCCAAUGAGUAAGAGUGAGAAAGAUGCUGACGUCACAGCGAUGGAAUCUACCAUAGUUAUUUUCCACUAGAUGGCGCCACCAAUCCGCCAUUCUUAUUCCAAUUCGCCAUUUUUAUUCCAUUUCAGUAUUUUUAUUUAAAUUCGCCAUUUUUGAUCCAAUUUUCCUUGACAUUACGUUGAAGAAAUCUACCAUACCUAUUAGCCGCUAGAUGACGCCAUUUUUAGUCCAUUUUUAUUUAAAUUCACCAUUUUUAUUCCAAUUCGCUAUUUUUAUUCCAAUUUGUCUUGACACAGAUAUUACGUUGAAGGAAUCUACCAUAAUUCGUUCUAAAUAUGAUCUCAAAUAAAAUCCCACACAUAAAACAAAUUGAAUUCAUCGAUAUGAAAAAGAACUUCGACUGAGUUGACAAAGACAAAAAAAAUCUAGAAGGAAGAUAUUUAAUAGAAAAAGAUUGCAAAUUUUCAAAGCAAAAGUCUUUUAGACUAAUUCGAUUGUGAAAAUUAUAUAUACACAAGUAAAAAAUCGAACUCCUAUUGGUUCAAUAAAAAAAUGAAAUACAACAGCAUGUAAAAAGGCUUUAGUAUUUUCAGUCCUAUUGGUUCACGUGAUUAUUUAACAGAAUAAAAUGACAUAGAAAAAUGAAAUUUCCCUUCCUCGUAGAUACGCCACUGCUAAUAUGGAAAGAUAUAUUAUAUUAGAAACUUUAUUUAAUUUUAUUUAAUAGCUAAAUGAUAUAUGGAAAAAUAUUAUAAACUUUGCUUAAUAGCAAAGCAAUUAGAAGGUAAUUUAAAAAAUACGUCACAAAUUGAUGGAGAAAAUACAGUAAUUAAAGACCCAUCAAUAUAAUUACUGGACUUUGAUAUAAAAACGAGAAAAGCAGGGAAAAAUAUUGUAUUCGAGUUUUCGAGGCAGUUAAGUACAUUUGUCAUAUUGCAGUCAACAUAGCAGUAAGGUGAGUACUAUUUUUACUUUAUUCUGAUUUUUAAUUUAUAUUCUUACCGUGUUAUAUGCCAUUCUUCAAUAAAAUUAAACUAAAAUACUUUUGUGACUGUCUCUUAGAUAUAUAUUUUUUCGGUUUUAUUUUUCUAGUAUUUCUCAAUAUUUUUUGCUUCUUAUAUAUGAGAGUUUGCUUCUUUGUUCCUGAAGCCGAACUGAUUUUCACGUAUCCGUCUAUCAAUUGCCCAUAUGUGAUAGUUAUAUUGCUCUUUGUACAUUGUUGUCUCUUUUUAAUAAAUACAGUGCUUCUCCAUUCGUCUGGCUUUGUCCAACUUCCAUAAUUCUACUAAAUAAACCUGUUAGCCAACUUGUUUCUGUCUUUCUCAGAAAUAUCAUCUGACAUUCUUUGAUCCACUUCAAAGAGAGUGAAAUUUUGUAUAGCAAAAAUAAAUGAUGUGUCUUUUGGUUUCUGUUUUAUCUAGUGCUUCGUAGCGUUGCAGCAGGUUAGAAUCCCAAAUUUUUAGUAAUUUCGAUUUUAUUCAUACAUAUUAGAUCUAUGUUUGCUUAUUUGUAACUUGUGUAUAUAUAAUUUUCUUAAUCGAAUUACUCUAAAAGACUUUUGCUUUAAAAUUUUGCAACUUUUUUCUAUUCCUCCUCCUCCUCAGUCGUUUCCUCAUUGCUGAGUGUCGUGAUUCCCUAUAAUACGAGCGCAACUAUCUCUUUCCAUCUGCUUCUGUCCUGAGCUUCCCUCAUAUAGAUUCAGAGAAUGUUUUUCCACAGGCUUUCUGUAUUUGAUCCGUCCAUCGAGUAAGUGAGCAACCUCUACUUCCGCGCCCUUCAACAUUUCCCGAAAUUUUUUUCUAUUAGAGACCUUUAUUUUAGAUAUAUUUUAUAUAAAUCUCACACAAGAAAUGCAUUUUUUCUCGAUUUUUUCAUUUUAUUUUCGAAGAGAGUGAAUUUUAGUAUAGCAAGUUGUUAUUGUUUUAGGUGGAUUUAGCAAAAAAUAAGCAAGGUUUCAUCCAUUGUAGUGGAAACGAACAUCCAACAGUCAAAUUCAAAAUCGUUGAAACUUAGAAUAAAAAAAGAAGGUGGAUUUAGCAAAAAAUAAGCAAGGUUUCAUCCAUUGCAGUGGAAACGAACAUACAACAGUCAAAUUCGAAAUCGUUGAAACUUAGAAUAAAAAAAGAGGGUGGAUUUAGCAAGAAAUAAGCAAGGUUUCAUCCAUUGCAGUGGAAACGAACAUCCAGCAGCCAAAUUCAAAAUCGUUGAAACUUAGAAUAAAAAAGAGGGUGGAUUUAGCAAGAAAUAAGCAAGGUUUCAUCCAUUGCAGUGGAAACGAACAUCCAGCAGCCAAAUUCAAAAUCGUUCAAACUUAGAAUAAAAAAAGAGGGUGGAUUUAGCAACAAAUAAGCAAGGUUUCAUCCAUUGCAGUGGAAACGAACAUCCAGCAGCCAAAUUCAAAAUCGUUGAAACUUAAAAUAAAAAAGAGGGUAAGUGAUUUUGUUUUUUUUUUAUAAGCCAUACAUAUAUUAA